GAUGAACGCUGGCGGCGUGCCUAAUACAUGCAAGUCGAGCGAACAGAUGAGGAGCUUGCUCCUCUGACGUUAGCGGCGGACGGGUGAGUAACACGUGGAUAACCUACCUAUAAGACUGGGAUAACUUCGGGAAACCGGAGCUAAUACCGGAUAAUAUAUUGAACCGCAUGGUGCAAUAGUGAAAGACGGUUUUGCUGUCACUUAUAGAUGGAUCCGCGCCGCAUUAGCUAGUUGGUAAGGUAACGGCUUACCAAGGCAACGAUGCGUAGCCGACCGGAGAGGGUGGUCGGCCACACUGGAACGGAGACACGGACCAGACUCCUACGAGAGGCAGCAGUAGGGAAUCGGCCGCAAAGGGCGAGAGCCUGACGGAACGACGCCGCGUGAGUGAUGAAGGUCUUCGGAGCGUAAAACUCUGUUAUUAGUGAAGAACAAAUGUGUAAGUAACUAUGCACGUCUUGACGGUACCUAAUCAGAAAGCCACGGCUAACUACGUG
rnacentral:rRNA from 1 species